GGAUUCCCCUAGUAACGGCGAGUGAAGCGGGAAGAGCUCAAAUUUAAAAUCUGCAAGGUUCAACCUUGCCGAAUUGUAGUUUGAAGAAGUGUUUUCCGCGGCGGCUGCAGUACAAAUCCUUUGGAACAGGGUAUCAGAGAGGGUGAGAAUCCCGUCUUUGACUGCAGACUAGUUGCACUGUGAUACACUUUCUAAGAGUCGAGUUGUUUGGGAAUGCAGCUCAAAAUGGGUGGUAAAUUUCAUCUAAAGCUAAAUAUUGGCAAGAGACCGAUAGCGAACAAGUACCGUGAGGGAAAGAUGAAAAGAACUUUGAAAAGAGAGUUAAAUAGUACGUGAAAUUGUUAAAAGGGAAACGCUUGAAGUCAGUGUUGCCGGCUGAAAAUCAGCUUCGUGCGGCGGGCUUGCUGCGGUGGAGGGAGUGUCAAAACCCCUUGCCGUAGUACAGCCAGCCGGAGGGAGUGCACUUUUCAGUCGGCAGGUCAACAUCAAUUUCGGCCGGUGGAAAAAAGCAAGUGGAAUGUAGGUUGGAGCGAUCUGACUGUUAUAGCCACUAGUGGAUACACCGGCUGGGAUUGAGGACAGCAGUGCAGGCCACUAUGGCGGAAGCGCAGCACUUUUCUCCGGGGGGCGUGUCAAGACAGCAAGCUGACUUGGUGCGUACACUCUUGGGAACGGGGCGGCCGUACUUCUCCAGCACUAAGGAUGUUGACGAAAUGGCUUUAAACGACCCGUCUUGAAACACGGACCAAGGAGUCUAACAAAUAUGCGAGUAUUUGGGUGGCAAACCCAUAUGCGCAAUGAAAGUGAAUGUAGGUGGGAUCCCGUUGGGGAGCACCAUCGACCGAUCUGGAUUAAUUUAUGAUAGAUUUGAGUAAGAGCAUAUCUGUUGGGACCCGAAAGAUGGUGAACUAUGCCUGAAUAGGGUGAAGCCAGAGGAAACUCUGGUGGAGGCUCGUAGCGAUUCUGACGUGCAAAUCGAUCGUCAAAUUUGGGUAUAGGGGCGAAAGACUAA
rnacentral:rRNA from 1 species